ACCUCGGUGGUCUAGCGGUUAGAACGCUGGUCUUGUAAUCCUGGGGUCUCGGGUUCGAUUCCCGGCGGUG
rnacentral:tRNA from 1 species